rnacentral:rRNA from 1 species
UACGUAGGGUGCAAGCGUUAUCCGGAAUUAUUGGGCGUAAAGAGCUCGUAGGCGGUUUGUCGCGUCUGCUGUGAAAACUGGAGGCUCAACCUCCAGCCUGCAGUGGGUACGGGCAAACUAGAGUGCGGUAGGGGGAGAUUGGAAUUCCUGGUGUAGCGGUGGAAUGCGCAGAUAUCAGGAGGAACACCGAUGGCGAAGGCAGAUCUCUGGGCCGUAACUGACGCUGAGGAGCGAAAGUGUGGGGAGCGAACAGG